GGGCAUGUGGCUUACUGGUAGAGUGCUUGCUUUGCAUGCAUGGAGCCCCAGGUUCGAUUCCUGAGUACCA
rfam:Dipodomys ordii contig_52988, whole genome shotgun sequence.